rnacentral:rRNA from 1 species
AUGGAGAGGACGCAGGGCUUCUUCGCGGCGCUCAAGCAGGAGGUGGCGCGCGGGCUGUCGCCGGCGAGGGCGCGCCGGAGGUCCGAGUCGGCCGACCUCGACGCCGCCGCGCUCAGGUUCUCCGGCCCGGUGGGGGGUGGAGAGAUGCUGGCGCCGCUCAUGGAGGGGCCCGAUCCGGAGUCCGGCGACGGCGUCGGCGCCGGCGCCAGGAGGGAGGGCUGGGGCCGCUGGGUGCGCGGCCAGCUCGCGCGCACGCCGUCCUCCGUCGCCGCCGCGGCGGCCGGCGCCGGCGCCGCCCGCAACGACCUCCGCCUCCUCCUCGGCGUCAUGGGCGCGCCGCUCGCGCCCGUGCACGUCUGCGCCGCCGAGCCGCUCCCGCACCUCAGCAUUAAGGACACCCCCAUCGAGACCUCGUCGGCGCAGUACAUUCUGCAGCAGUACCUGGCGGCCUCCGGUGGGCACAAGCUCCUCGCCUCCGUGCGCAACUCCUACGCCAUGGGCAAGGUGCGCAUGGUGGCCACUGAGUUUGAGAACGCCGGCCGCCUGGUCAAGAACCGCAAUGCGGCUCGCUGCGCCGAGCCGGGCCGCUUCGUGCUGUGGCAGAUGGCUCCUGAGAAGUGGUACAUCGAGCUGGCUGUCGGUGGGAGCAAGGUGCAUGCCGGCUGCAAUGGCAAGCUUGUGUGGCGCCACACCCCGUGGCUCGGCUCCCAUUCCGCCAAAGGCCCGGUCCGCCCCCUCCGCCGUGCUCUGCAGGGCUUGGAUCCACUGACUGCAGCAAGCAUGUUUGCCGGCGCACGGUGCAUCGGGGAGAGGAAGGUGAACGGGGAGGAUUGCUUCAUCCUGAAGCUGUGCACUGACCCGGAGACCCUCAAGGCACGCACCGAGGGCCUCGCAGAGAUCAUCAGGCAUGUCAUGUUCGGGUACUUCAGCCAGAGGACCGGCCUCCUCGUCCACAUCGAGGACUCACACCUGACGCGGAUUCAGUCAACAACCGGUGGGGAUGCGGUCUACUGGGAGACCACCAUCAACUCAUUCAUCGAGGACUACCGGCCGGUGGAUGGCAUCAUGAUUGCGCACUCCGGGCGCUCGGCCGUGACCCUGUUCCGCUUCGGCGAGGUGGCCAUGAGCCACACCAAGACUCGGAUGGAGGAGGCGUGGAGCAUCGAGGAGGUUGCGUUCAAUGUACCUGGCCUGUCCAUGGAUUGCUUCAUCCCACCCACCGAUAUCAAGUCUGGAUCUGUAAGUGAGACUGUCGAGCUCCCUCAUGGUGGUGAGAAGAACAAGUUUGGUCCUCCCCCUGGUCACCGUGCCAAAGUUGCUGCGCUGGAGAAGACGGAUGGUGGCGAGCUAGCAUGGAGGGGAACGCAUACCUGA